CUCUUAUUCCGAGUAGGUGGAGGGACAGGCCCUAUGAAACCCAGCAACCGACACUUCGUGCCAAAAAAUGAAGUGAAAAGGUGCUAACCUGCAAGGUGAACAAGCCUUGAAAAUAAGAG
rnacentral:ncRNA from 2 species